rnacentral:rRNA from 1 species
UACGUAGGUGGCAAGCGUUGUCCGGAAUUAUUGGGCGUAAAGCGCGCGCAGGCGGCCCUCUUAAGUCUGAUGUGAAAGCCCCCGGCUCAACCGGGGAGGGCCAUUGGAAACUGGGAGGCUUGAGUAUAGGAGAGAAGAGUGGAAUUCCACGUGUAGCGGUGAAAUGCGUAGAGAUGUGGAGGAACACCAGUGGCGAAGGCGACUCUUUGGCCUAUAACUGACGCUGAGGCGCGAAAGCGUGGGGAGCAAACAGG